rnacentral:pre_miRNA from 1 species
AGUGGGAUAGCUGGGUGAGAUGGUGGUUCCACUACAAGUUUACUAAGGAAUCUCCAUACUGCUUUCCAAAGUGGUCACAUCAAUUUGCAAUCCCACUAGCAAU